GCCGGCGUAGCUCAGUGGUAGAGCAGCCGAUUCGUAAUCGGCAGGCCGAGGGUUCGAAUCCCCCCGCCGGCUCCA
rnacentral:tRNA from 1 species